rnacentral:rRNA from 1 species
CAAUAGCGUAUAUUAAAGUUGUUGCGGUUAAAAAGCUCGUAGUUGGAUCUCGGCAGGCAGGGGGUGGUUCGCUCUUAGCGCUACUGCCCCAUUUGCCUGUGUGAUUGGCGGAGGUUUCGGGGUGCUCUUCGUUGAGUGACCCGGGGCGCCGUCAGGUUUACUUUGAAAAAAUUAGAGUGCUCAAAGCAGGCUUUUCACGCUUGAAUAUUCGUGCAUGGAAUAAUGGAAUAGGAACUCGUUUCUAUUUUGUUGGUUUUCGGAAAUCGACGUAAUGAUUAACAGGGACAGUCGGGGGCAUUAGUAUUCAGACGACAGAGGUGAAAUUCUUGGACCGUCUGAAGACUAACUACUGCGAAAGCAUUUGCCAAGAAUGUUUUCAUUAA